UACUGUUCAACUUUGCUGAAUGAGCCCAUUAGUGGUCUCCCGCUGCCAUCUAGUGGUUCUAAAUUGCAUUUACUCAAGCAACACUGUGUUUUUAAAUAUAACUGUUAUAGUGUUGUUAUUUUUUUUGACCAAUCUCUCUUAAAUUUUGCAUGCUUGUUUAGAAUGAAAUUAUGCAUUAUUUUACACAGUUUUGAUAAUUUGUGGGCUUUCUGUUUGUAUUAAUAGGCCUUAGUGUACACUAUGCAAAUAACAUAUUAUAAAAUUACUGGUUUAUAGUUGUCCAAAUGCAACUGUUCAACAUGUUUUUGAUAAUUAUUGACCUUCAGAGUCUAGAGAAUUGUACUUCAGUGGUUUUAUUGAUUUUCAGCUUAUACCCUAUCACUAGUUUGCCAAAGUAACUUUUUGAAAUAAUCUUGAAUAUUUAAUUAACAGCUUUAUUGACAACAUUGGUCCCAGAGGCAAAGUUGUUCAGAAUGAGGAGAUCUAUCAUAUGAUAUGAAGAUCUAGUGUUUUUGAGUGAAUAUAUGAGCAUUUUCAAACAAUUUGAGGCCAAUUACCAUAUAAAUCUUGUGUUUUGAGACCUUUUCUACUGUUAUAGCGCCACCUAUGGUGCGAUCUCCAUGAAACUUUGCAUGCUUGUUAAGAGUUACCUGUUACAUGUUCUCACCACGUUUCAUAAAGUUUUGAGUUUUCGUUUAGGUUUUAUAGGCUUUGGGGUAUGUUUGGCCACACCCCUUUUCUUAAUUACCCAUUUAACGCUAACCAAAGUACAAAAUUGAACAUUUUUUUGAUAAUUAUUGAUCUAGACAGUCCACAGAAUAUUACUGCCGUGGUUUGGUUCCGAUCGGACAAAAAACCUAGGACUAGUUCGCAAAAGUAGUUUUUUAACAUAUUUGUGAAUAACAAUUGAACGAUUUGAUUGACAGCAAUGGUUCUUGAGGCAAAGUUGUGCAUUAUGAGGAGAUCUAUCAAAUGAUAUGCAUAUUGUGUUGAUAUGUGAAACACCACGUGAUUACAGAGCCAUAAAACUCGUUAGCGCCAACUAGUGGCCGAUUUCUUUCAAAAUUCUUACAGACCUUAAGGUUCAUGAGUCGAACGUACCCAGCGAGUUUCGUUCCGAUCAACAUCCGUUAACCCUUUCAAAUAGGUGCUUAAAUUUGUUUGGCCAAUGGCGGCCAUGUUUUUUGAGAUAUGCAAAUGUCCUCAUAGGUACUUGUGCCCCUUCAGACCAAGACACUGCAUACCGAUUUUCAAGUCGAUCGAGCCAACGGUUGCCUAGUUAUAGCAAUUUAUGUG